rnacentral:rRNA from 1 species
GACGUAGGGCGCGAGCGUUGUCCGGAUUUAUUGGGCGUAAAGAGCUCGUAGGCGGCUUGUCGCGUCGUCUGUGAAAUCCCGCGGCUCAACCGCGGGUCUGCAGUCGAUACGGGCAGGCUAGAGUUCGGUGAGGGGAGACUGGAAUUCCUGGUGUAGCGGUGAAAUGCGCAGAUAUCAGGAGGAACACCGGUGGCGAAGGCAGGUCUCUGGGCCGAUACUGACGCUGAGGAGCGAAAGCGUGGGGAGCGAACAGG